rnacentral:rRNA from 1 species
GAUGAACGCUGGCGGCGUGCCUAAUACAUGCAAGUCGAGCGAACAGACGAGGAGCUUGCUCCUCUGACGUUAGCGGCGGACGGGUGAGUAACACGUGUAUAACCUACCUAUAAGACUGGGAUAACUUCGGGAAACCGGAGCUAAUACCGGAUAAUCUAUUGAACCGCAUGGUUCAUUAGUGAAAGACGGUUUUGCGGUCACUUAUAGCUGGAUCCGCGCCGGAUUAGCUAGUUGUUAAGGUAACGGCUUAUCACGGCGAGGAGGCGUAGCCGACCUGAGAGAGUGGUCGGCCACACGGGAACUGAGACAGGGUCCAGACUCCUAAGGGAGGCAGCAGUAGGGAAUCUGCCGCAAUGGGCGAAAGCCUGACGGAGCAAGGCCGCGUGAGUGAUGAAGGUCUUCGGAUCGUAAUACUCUGUUAUUGGGGAAGAACAAAUGUGUAAGUAACUAUGCACGUCUUGACGGUACCGAAUCAGAAAGCCACGGCUAACUACGUG